GCAUCCAUGGCUGAAUGGUUAAAACGCCCAACUCAUAAUUGGCGAAUUCGUCCGUUCCAUUCCUGCUGGAUGCA
rnacentral:tRNA from 1 species